UUGUGUAGUUUCGGUGCAGAAUACAGUUUCAGGUAACACUUUGUAGUGAGGGCGUUGCUUGACGAAAAGAAGAUAGUUGUUGACGAUUGUGUAGUUUCGGUGCAGAAUACAGUUUCAGGUAACAUGUUGAGGAGAAUGACCAGGUCCGUGACGGGUAGGCUGGCUAAUAAGCGAAAGCAGAACGAUAAAGAAACAGAACGAUAACGAAAGAAGGUAGAUGGAGAAACCGAUGAAGAAUGGGAACAAGAAGUCGAUGAAGGGCAAGUGGUGGGUACCUUUGAUGUUGUACAGAAGUUACCCUCUAGUGUAACACAUGUUAUAAACAUGUGUUACAUAUGUUCAACCUCUUUGU
rnacentral:lncRNA from 1 species